UACCAGCACCCCGAGUGGUCGGGACGAUUAUUGGGCCUAAAGCCUCCGUAGCCGGUUUUACAAGUCCUCCGUUAAAUCCCUCAGCUUAACUGGGGAACUGCGUGUGAUACUGGAUGGCUUGGAUUUGGGAGAGGGAUGCGGAAUUCCAGGUGUAGCGGUGAAAUGCGUAGAUAUCUGGAGGAACACCGGUGGCGAAGGCGGCGUUCUGGACUGCAACUGACACUGAUAAACGAAAGCCAGGGUAGCAAACGGG
rnacentral:rRNA from 1 species